UAACAAAUGUGAAAAAAAGCCCGCUACUCAAAAGCCCGCUAUUAGUGAUAUGUAACUAUAGUCUUCCAUAUAAUGUCGAGGCCAAUCUGGCGUAGGCUCCCGCGGGUCCUAUCCUCCCCUCUUCUUUGCCACAGUCCCAACACCUCUCUCUUCCUCUCAUAUGUAAGCUAUAGGUAACAUAUGAGAGGAAAAAAUAGGUGUUGGGACUGUGUGGCAGAGCAGAGGGGAGAAAUUGACCCGCGGGAGCCAACGCCAAAACGGACUCGACAAUUUGGUUUCACUAUAGUUUAGUAACGUACGUAUUUAUAUAACUUAGUGAUAGCUAGUUAUACAAGACCGCUGAUACCGCUUACAGUCGAUAAAGAAUGUUAGGUUUACUCAGAGCUGCGACGUGGGGUUAAAAAGACAGUUUAUAUUUUUUUUUAACAAAUAAUGGAAUAGAAGACUUUUCCUAUUGUGUACAUGUGUGUGGGUCGAUAAAGAAUGUUAGGUUUACUCAGAGCUGCGACGUAGGGUUAAGAAGACAGUUUAUAAUUUUUUAAACAAAUAAUGGAAUAGAAGACUUUUUCUUUUGUGUACAUGUGUGUGGGUCGAUAAAGAAUGUUAGCUUUACUCAGAGCUGCGAUGUAGGGUUAAGAAGACAGUUUAUAAUUUUUUUUUUAACAUAUAAUGGAAUAGAAGACUUUUCCUAUUGUGUACAUGUGUGUGGGUCGAUAAAGAAUGUUAGCUUUACUCAGAGCUGCGACGUAGGGUUAAGACAGUUUAUAAUUUUUUAACAAAUAAUAGAAUAGAAGACUUUUCCUAUUGUGUACAUGUGUGUGGGUCGAUAAAGAAUGUUAGCUUUACUCAGAGCUGCGACGUGGGGUUAAGAAGACAGUUUAUAAUUUUUUCAACAAAUAAUGGAAUAGAAGACUUUUUCUUUUGUGUACAUGUGUGUGGGUCGAUAAAGAAUGUUGGCUUUACUCAGAGCUGCGAUGUAGGGUUAAGAAGACAGUUUAUAAUUUUUUUUUUUUAACAUAUAAUGGAAUAGAAGACUUUUCCUAUUGUGUACAUGUGUGUGGGUCGAUAAAGAAUGUUAGCUUUACUCAGAGUUGCGACGUAGGGUUAAGAAAACAGUUUAUAAUUUUUUCAACAGAUAAUGGAAUAGAAGACUUUUUCUCUUGUGUACAUGUGUGUGGUAUCAGUACUCAUAUCACAGCAGUGGCAGUACGAGGUAACAACGGCAACAAUAAUAAUAUCAACACUUUUCGCAGCAUGACAGACACCGUUGGUUUCAUCAUAGGUCGACUCUUUGUGUCCGUCAUGUACGCGUUGCAGAAGGUCGUUUUUUUUUUUUUUUUUUUUUUUCCAGCAAAGGAGACAGCACAAGGGCACAAAAAAAGGAAACAACAAUAAAAAAAAAAGGCCCGCUACUCGCUGCUCCUGUAAAGAAUCCGAAGAGGUGGCCGAAAGAGCAGUCACAAUAUCUCGUAGUGAAACAAAAAAUAUAAUAGUCCGCAAUGCGUUCUUUUGUUGGUAUUAUUGUUCAUCGUUCAAGGGUCGUAGUAGGCAAACUUAUCUUCGAGCCACAUGUCUUCAUCCGUUCAGCAUUAUCCAACCAGAUAAUGAUGAUGAUUAGUUACUAUAAAUAAAGUAAUAAAACUUGAAAACAACACGAGUAGAAAACUAUUCUUGUGUUGGCAGGGAAAGCUUCCGACUCGUUCAAACUAGUUACCGAAGAGGUCGUCAUUAGGAGUGGUCGUCGUUGUCGUUUUGUAACAGCGAUGACCCCAUUUCUUUCAUCAUUGUCUGCCUCCUCCUCCUCCUUGAUUUCCCCACUAUAACCUUCCUCAUCCUUCCAGUCUCUUACUUGUUUCUCGCCCGCAAUAUUGAUUUUCGAUGGAUAUUAGUACAUAUUAGCUAUAUUCAUCAGUCAUACUUUUCAUCACCGUAAUUUACCCCUUAGUGUGUGUGUGUGUGUGUGUGUGUGUGUGUGUGUGUGUGUGUGUAUUUACCUAGUUAUAGUUUUACAGGGCCUGGGGUUUACGCUCGUGUGGUCCCGUCUCCAUAUCUAUAUUUAUCCAACUUUUCCUUAAAGCCUUGCACACUCCUCGCCGAUACUACAUCCUCACUUAGUCUGUUCCAAACCUCUAUAUUUCUUUGGGGGAAGCUAUAUUUCUUUAUGUCUCUCAAGCAUCUUCCCUUCCUGUGUGUGUGUGUGUGUGUGUGUGUGUGUGUGUGUGUGUGUGUGUGUCCUUCAUUUCCUUUAAGACCAGGCAACCAAAUGGAGAGGAGGAGAAUGAGAAUGACAUUAAGUAGUAGGGAGAAAAAAGAAAGCAGGUAGGGAGAGUAGGAGGAGGUGGAGGCGGUGACGGGGUGAGGAGGAGGAGGUGUGGUUAGGAGGAGGCUGUGGAGGAGGAAGAGGAGUGGAAAGGCGACAGGAUGGAGAGAGAGAGAGAGAGAGAGAGAGAGAGAGAGAGAGAGAGAGAGAGAGAGAGAGAGAGGAGGGGGAAGAUGAAUGGUGACAGGAGGAAGGGAGUAGGAAAGGUGACGGGGUGACAAGGUGAAGCUGGUGGUGGGGCGAGGGGGGGGGGAGGAGGGGGAUGGGGAAGUGAAAAGCGACUCGGGCACAGGGUCAGAUGGAGAUGAGGGCAGCAUGGGCAAGGGGGCGGCGGCGGGAGGGUAAAAACAAGAACAGGGCGUACAGAGAAUGAGUACAGAGAAUGAGAAUGAGUAAGAAAGGCAGAGAGAGCUUGAGAAACCAGGAAUGUAGCGAAGUGAAAGAAGGAAGAAGGCUUUGGUUAGGACGGGGAGAGGCAGAGAGAGCCAGAGAAACAGAGAGAAUGAAGCGAGGUGGAAGAAGGAAGAAGGCUUUGGUUAGGGCGGGGAGAGGUAGAGAGAGCCAGAGAAACAGGAAUGAAGCGAAGUGGAAGAAGGAAGAAGAGGUAGAGAGAGCUAGAUAAACCAUUAAUGAAGCAGUGGAAGAGGCGGGAAGAGGUAGAGAGAGCGAAGUGAAAGAAGGAAGAAGGCUUUGGUUAGGACGGGGAAAGUUAGAGAGCGCUAGAGAAACCAGGAAUGAAGCGAAGGAAAGUGGAAAAAGAGGAAAGAACAUUGGGGGCAUGGCAAGGAGAGAUUAAAGCAGCGGGCAAAUGGAAAGUACACAAGAGGGUAGAGGUGGGAAUAUGAGGUAGAAGAGAGGCAGAGGAAGGUGUGAUAGAAGAGGAAGGGAAAAAAAUCAGGGAGGGAAGUACAGGUAAGGGACAGCGGGUUGCAGAGUCAAAGGGAUAGAGAGCAGGGGAGUGAGGAGGAGGGUCAAGAGACAGGGGAAAGUGUGGUAAGGAGAAGAAAAAGGAGGCAGGGAGCUAUUGGCAAAUAAGGAGAUGGAUGAAGGAGGGUAGGAAUAGUGAUUAGAAGGACCAGUGGCGAGGAGGACUAGAAAGGGCGCAAGGACAUAAGAAAGACACAUUGAAAGUUGUAAAAAGGAGGAAAGAUCAUAUGAAAAGAAAGACACAUUGAAGGUUGUAAAAAGGAGGAAAGAUCAUAUGAAAAGAAAGACACAUUGAAGGUUGUAAAAAGAAGGAAAGAUCAUAUGAAAAGAAAGACACAUUGAAAGUUAUAAAAAGAAGGAAAGAUCAUAUGAAAAGAAAGACACAUUGAAAGUUAUAGAAAGAAGGAAAGAUCAUAUUAAACGGGAGAGGCAGAGCAAGGAAAGAGAGAAACGGGAGGAGGGGGUUAAUUAGCGAGGAAAAGGUGAUAAAAUUAAUAGUCAGAUGGAAGUUAACCCGUUGGAUGCGGAUUUCCUACAAGAAGACAUCACCAAGC